CUUCGUUGGUCUGUACUAAUGAAGCUCCACAUCUCAGCUGCUGAAUGCUCAAGCUCGUCUGCCUGGAAUUUUCUAACUCAUUUCAAUUCAUUUCCCACUUUCCCCUUUCCCUCCUGCUGCCUUUCUCUUUUUCCCAUCCCAUAGUUAUUUCUCUUCUCUCCCUCAAUCCCUCUCUGUGUAUGUGUCCCCAGCCACAGCUCCCCAUCCCCUGCCACUGUGUACAGAGACCAGAACCAUGAAGAGCAAUCCAUGAAGCACUUUCAAAUCCAUGGCCCCUCCUGACCCCAUCUACUUGCGGUCUCUGGCAGCAGCCUGUAAUGCCCUGCGCUUCAGAGGAAACUCUACUUACUCCAAGGAUAGUAAUGUGGGCCAUGCUGGCAUAAGCUGUUUGCCAUGGAGGGCUUUGGCGCAAGGAGGAGAAGAUGUGAACCAAAAGGCUCUGCCCUGAAUAAAGUCAGAUGCUUUGGCACUACUCAUAUUUCUGUCUGGAUGCUUUCAAGAAUCCAGUAUUUUCAUUUUAGAACAUCUGAAGGAACCCCCAGAGCCUUGGCAGCAACACUUUCCCAGAACUCCUGUUUGAAGCAUGAACGUGGUGGAAGGCACAAAAGUGAAAUGCAACCUUCCUGUGUAGUUCUGCUCCACACCACCUUCACUUCCAGCAAUCAGCUCCUGGGAGGGAGGAAUCUACAAUACCCCAGUGACUGUCCUCCUGACUGGCUGUCCUGCAGGGACUUACCAUGGUCAGAAUAGCUGAGAUAUUUUCUGCCUUGAGAUUUUUGAUGAUGGAUUUUCAGAGUGAAAGGACAAGAGCUGACUCCAUGUUAAUGCCAAACUUUAAAUGUUUUGACUAUACAACUGAAACACCAUUACCUAUUCCCCACGGAGCUCCACUCUUUCUCUCUCUCUCCUCCACUUCUCCUCUCCACACUGUAGCCUUUUGUAUGUCUCAGGCAUUAAUCCCUCGCUGCCGGGGUGUGUAAAUUAAAGAAUAAUAGAGCUGCAGAGGCAUAAGCUCGCAAUGAUGGGGAAUGUGUUUGUCUGCUAAGAAGCAAUUUCAGCGAAAAUUAACUCAAUUUCAUCUGAAAUAGUGAAGACCGGCAUAAGCUGGCAGAUCCCCGAGGAUGGUAAAAUUACUUCGUCAAAGCUCUGCUUGCUUAAAUUAACCAAGCAAGCACUCCAGGUUAUUGGCAAGAUGCAGCUAGUAACUAGGUUUUAAUAAACAAAAAUAGCUUUUUGGAUAAAUAAGGAAAGUGCGAAGUGUCUUAUGUAUUCUAUUGAUGUUUUCAUCUGUAUGACCUCAACAGCAAGACCUUCACAUUCCUGCAGGCACAUCCUUUGAUUCUCUGUGUCCGACUGGUCUCUCUUCUGAGUCUUAGCAAACAACCUGAAAGUGCUUCUGGAGACAAUGUAAGAUUAACUUUUAUUCCAGCAUCUAACAGACUGUUUGCAAUGCCUAGGUGGGAUAACAGCAACAUCUUUUAGGGUUAUUUUGUCUUUUUCAAGUUGGAAGAUGACUGUUCUUGAUUUAAAUUGCUUCACCUUGAGAUAUGGUUCAGUGUCAAGGCAAGAGCUAGUCUACACUGUCACUGAUACAGCAGAUUCCCCAGCUGAAUACAUUGCUGCCAGUGGGCAAGUCAGGAUGUGAGCUCCCUCCUCCUGCUAGGAUUCCCUGUCCAAGGGAAGUGAAAAUUUCAUGGUCAGAAAGAUUGACUCCAGGAGCAGCUCAGAGAACAUGUAAAUCACUUGGGAAUGUGCUGUCAGUUCUUUUGGUGGUUGUGCUGUGGUUUGUUUCGGUUUGCUUUGGUUUUUGCUUUUUAUGUUUUUCAGUUUUUUUUGCUAUCGAUAGCUUUUCUUAGGGCUGUGUUUUGCAGAAGCAUUGUGCUGCUGGAGGUUAUGAUCACUAGGAGGUGUCUUCUGGAAAAUGAAUGUUGGGCUUAUUGCUCUGCCUCUAGUCUACGAGCAUCAGGACAGAUUUUUGUUUCUUCUGGAUUCCAUUCCUCUCAGUACUGUGUUUUGGGAAUAGUAUUCAUCAGAAGUACUAUCAGAAAUAUCCAACGCCCCAAGCAGGAGGGUUGGAACGGGAUGAUCUUUGAGGUCCAUUCCAACACAAGGCAAUCUAUGAUUCUAUAUAAUUCAGUGCUUCUAUGAUCAUGUAAUUGGCUAGGAGUGUGUAAAAGGCUUAAAAAUCUAUUUGUUGGAAAGGAAUAUGAAAAAUCUCCUCAGAACUGCAAAAAUAUGUCACCAUUUUGACUCGCUCAUGCUCCUGUCCCUCCAUCAGUAUUCCAAGAGCACCUGCUAUUUAAAAGCUUUGGGUUCUUGUCAUCUUGAAUGAAUAUAGAAUCAUAGAAUCAGAAUGGCAUAUGUUGGAAGGGACCCCAAAGACCAUCUACUGCCAUCACCCCUGCUAUGGGCAAGAUUACCACCCACUAGAUUGGGCUGCCCAGGAUAGAUUGUUCUGUGAUGCUCUAGCCAAUGGGUGAUUGUUGUCAGUGGGAGCUACACCUGAUCUUGGCCACAACCCCCCACUGAAUUAAUGGUUAGUUGAGAAAAAGGAGAGCUGCAGAACCAUCAGACCAGCCAAAACAGAGGAUGAGACCCAAGCAUACGUAAUUUAUCCCUUCCCCACUACACUCCCUUGGCUACUUAUUUCCCCACUCCCUUCCUACCAUAAAUCUCACUAUCUGCAGAAGGGAAAGCAGCUGUCUACAAGAUUUGCUGAGCCAUCCACUCAUUAAAAUGUUCCACUGGCAAAGAAAUACUUUCUCUUGCUGUUGCAUAUUUACAGUUUGGUGAUUUCUUGUUUAGGACAAUCUGAGGUGAUAGUUUUUAGCUUUGCUAGUUGCAAAUACUAGGAGAAAAUAUUUGGCUAAUGACCCUGGUUACUGCCAUGAACUGUAGUGACCUGUCUUGGGAGACAGCUGUCAGCCCCUCAACAGAAAAAAAUAGCAAAACAUAGGGUAAGAAAUACAGGACCUGCUCCAUGCAAAAUCACCUCUCUUUGAUUGGACUGUUUGCAGAAAUGACACUAACUUGUCAUUAAAUCCAGAAAAUGCAUUUGGAGCAAGGAAUAAACUGCCUAGAGAAGCAGUGCUCCAUGGGUAGAAUCGUGCCCUGCUGAGACCUUUCAUUGCAGCCCUCCUCCAUUGGGUUGUCAGUCACUUUUAUUUCUUUUCACUGUUAGUGCAAUGGCAGCGGUCAGAAAGGUGCUGGCUUUAAAACAACAGUGUCAAAACUGGUAAGGAAAAUAAG